CCUACGGGCGGCAGCAGUCGAGAAUCAUUCACAAUGGGGGAAACCCUGAUGCAGCAACGCCGCGUGAAGGACGACGGUUUUCGGAUUGUAAACUUCUGUUCUUAGUGAAGAAUAUUGACGGUAGGUAAGGAGCAAGCCACGGCGAUCUACGUGCAAGCAGCCAUGGCAAUAGGUAGGUGGCAAGCGUUGUCCGGAAUUACUGGGUGUAAAUGGUGCGCAGGCGGGAAGCCAAGUCAUCUGUGAAAACUACGGGCGUAACUUGCAGACUGCAGUGGAGACUGGUUAUCUUGAGUGAAGUAGAGGUAGGCGGAAUUCCGGGUGUAGCGGUGAAAUGCGUAGAUAUUCGGAGGAACACCGGUGGCGAAGGCAGCCAACUGGGCUUUAACUGACGCUGAGGCUCGAAAGUGUGGGGAGCAAACAGGAUUAGAUACCCCAGUAGUC
rnacentral:rRNA from 1 species